UGCUUAACACAUGCAAGUCGAAACGUCGAAAGGGAACUUCGGUCCUGAGUAAAGUAGGCGCACGGGUGAGUAACGCGUAGAUAACCUGUCUUCAUGUCUGGAAUAAUACGCCGAAAGGGGUACUAAUACCGGAUAUCUUGCUUUUCAUAAGUUAUGCAAGCAAAGGUGGCCUCUGCAUAUGCUACUGCAUGAAGAGGGGUCUGCGUACCAUUAGCUAGUAGGUGGGGUAAUGGCCUACCUAGGCGACGAUGGUUAGCGGGUCUGAGAGGAUGAUCCGCCACACUGGCACUGGAACACGGGCCAGACUCCUACGGGAGGCAGCAGUGAGGAAUAUUGCGCAAUGGGGGAAACCCUGACGCAGCGACGCCGCGUGAGUGAGGAAAGGCCUUCGGGUCGUAAAGCUCUGUCAAGAGGAAAGAAGUGUACAAUGGCUAAUACCUGUUGUAUUUGACGGUACCUCUAAAGGAAGCACCGGCUAACUCUGUGCCAGCAGCCGC
rnacentral:rRNA from 1 species